GUGGGGAAUUUUGGACAAUGGGCGAAAGCCUGAUCCAGCAAUGCCGCGUGCAGGAUGAAGGCCCUCGGGUUGUAAACUGCUUUUGUACGGAACGAAAAGCCUGGGGCUAAUAUCCCCGGGUCAUGACGGUACCGUAAGAAUAAGCACCGGCUAACUACGUGCCAGCAGCCGCGGUAAUACGUAGGGUGCAAGCGUUAAUCGGAAUUACUGGGCGUAAAGCGUGCGCAGGCGGUUUUGUAAGACAGUGGUGAAAUCCCCGGGCUCAACCUGGGAACUGCCAUUGUGACUGCAAAGCUAGAGUGCGGCAGAGGGGGAUGGAAUUCCGCGUGUAGCAGUGAAAUGCGUAGAUAUGCGGAGGAACACCGAUGGCGAAGGCAAUCCCCUGGGCCUGCACUGACGCUCAUGCACGAAAGCGUGGGGAGCAAACAGGAUUAGAAACCCCGGUAGUCC
rnacentral:rRNA from 1 species